rnacentral:rRNA from 1 species
UACGAAGGGGGCUAGGCGUUGCUCGGAAUCACUGGGCGUAAAGCGCACGCAGGCGGAUCGUUAAGUCAGGGGUGAAAUCCCGAGGCCUCAACCUCGGAACUGCCUUUGAUACUGGCGAUCUUUGAGUCCGGGAGAGGUGAGUGGAACUCCGAGUGUAGAGGUGAAAAUUCGUAGAUAUUCGCAAGAACACCAGUGGCGAAGGCGGCUCACUGGCCCGGAACUGACGCUGAGGUGCGAAAGCGUGGGGAGCAAACAGG